AGCUAGAAUAACGGUGCCCGUACCGCAAACCGACACAGGUAGUCAAGAUGAGAAUUCUAAGGUGAGCGAGCGAACUCUCGUUAAGGAACUCGGCAAAAUGACCCCGUAACUUCGGGAGAAGGGGUGCUCUUUGAGGUUCACGCUUCGAAGAGCCGCAGUGAAUAGGCCCAAGCGACUGUUUAUCAAAAACACAGGUCUCUGCUAAACCGUAAGGUGACGUAUAGGGGCUGACGCCUGCCCGGUGCUGGAAGGUUAAGAGGAGUGGUUAGCGCAAGCGAAGCUACGAAUCGAAGCCCCAGUAAACGGCGGCCGUAACUAUAACGGUCCUAAGGUAGCGAAAUUCCUUGUCGGGUAAGUUCCGACCCGCACGAAAGGCGUAACGAUUUGGGCACUGUCUCAACGAGAGACUCGGUGAAAUCAUAGUACCGGUGAAGAUGCCGGUUACCCGCGACAGGACGGAAAGACCCCGUGGAGCUUUACUGUAGCCUGAUAUUGAAAUUCGGUACAGUUUGUACAGGAUAGGUAGGAGCCUUAGAAGCGUGAGCGCUAGCUUACGUGGAGGCAUUGGUGGGAUACUACCCUAAUUGUAUUGGAUUUCUAACCCGCAGCACUUAUCGUGCUGGGAGACAGUGUCAGGCGGGCAGUUUGACUGGGGCGGUCGCCUCCUAAAGAGUAACGGAGGCGCUCAAAGGUUCCCUCAGAAUGGUUGGAAAUCAUUCAUAGAGUGUAAAGGCAUAAGGGAGCUUGACUGCGAGACCUACAAGUCGAGCAGGGUCGAAAGACGGACUUAGUGAUCCGGUGGUUCCGCAUGGAAGGGCCAUCGCUCAACGGAUAAAAGCUACCCCGGGGAUAACAGGCUUAUCUCCCCCAAGAGUUCACAUCGACGGGGAGGUUUGGCACCUCGAUGUCGGCUCAUCGCAUCCUGGGGCUGUAGUCGGUC
rnacentral:rRNA from 1 species